CCGAAGCAGGCUCCAGGCUCUGAGCUGUCAGCACAGAGGCUGACGCGAGGCUCGAACCCAUGAACCAUGAGAUCAAGACCCGAGCCGAAGUCGGUCGAUUAACUGACUGAGCCACCCGGGAACCCCUCCUUUUGGGUAAUCACCUGCCUCUUCCCUUGCACAGUCGGGAUCAGUGUUGUUCGAAGAUGUAUCUGUGGACUUCACCAGGAAGGAGUGGCGGCUGCUGGACCCGGCCCAAAGGCUCCUGUGCAGGGAUGUGAUGCUGGAGAACUACGAGCACCUGGUGUCCCUGGAACGCCAGAAAGCCAACAACAUGAAAGAAAGAAGCCAAGAAAAGGUAGGUAAAUACUUGAGGCAAGCUUUAUUCUUCAACAGCAGAAUAUUGACUAUGGAGAGAGGCAAGAUGUUGAGAGAAGCAUUUAAUAUGUCCACAAAUCCAGUGCCCUCAAGAAAAAUAUCCCAUAAAUGUGACUCCUCUGGAACAAGCUUGAAAAGUGUUUCAGGAUUAAUUAUUAUUAAUAGAAACCAGAUAAGAAAAAAGCCUAAUGAUCUCAAUGGAUGUGGAUUCCUUGAUAUGGUACAUGAGAAGACUCACCCAGGGAACAAGCCCUGUGAAAAUGAUCAAAAGAAAUCCCACAGACAUAAUGAGGAGUUUAUACAACAUCAGAAGAAUUCUGUUUUGAAGAAGAUUCUUGAAUAUAAUAAGUGUGGGAAAGCCUUUCACAAAAAGGCGGCCUUUGUUACACGUAAGAGAGCUCACAAAGGAGAGAAAUCCUCUGAAGGUAAUGAAUGCAGACAAGCCAUCACCCAAAAGUUAAAGCUCAAUGCUCAUCCAAGAACCCUUAGGGAAAGAAAAUCGCAUGAAUCAAUAAAAACAGGAAAUCUUCAUGCAUGAAGUCAAAACAUGCACAUCAGAGAGCUCACCUAGGGAAGAAAUACUAUGAUUGUAAUAAACUAGAGAAAUCCUUUAGCAGGAAGUCCAAACUAACUCAACAUCAGAGAGGGUACGGAGGUGGAAAACCCAAGGAGUAUAAUGAAAGUGAGGAAACCUUGUGGAAGUCAUACCACAUUCAAAGUGAGAGAUCUCUUGGAAAGAAAAUCUAUGACGGUGAUAAAUGUGGGAAAUCCUUCCACGCAAAGCCAUGCCUCACUCAACAUCAGAGAACUCAUACAACAGAAAAACUUAGUGAGGGUAAUGAUAGUGAGAGCACUGUAAAGAAGGAGUCACACCUCCCUCUAAAUCAGAGAAUUAACACAAGAGAGAACAGCUUUAAAGGUAAAAAAUGUGAGAAGUCCUCCUGUGAGAAGCCAAAACUCACUCAACGUCAGAGCGCUCACAAGGGAAAGAAAGCCUAUGACUGUAAUAGAUGUAGGAAAAGUUUCGUAAGAAAACAGACCUUGCUCAACCUCAGAGCACACACACAGGAAAAAAGGCCCUUUGAGUGUAAUGAGUGUGGGAAGUCCUUCUUUGUGAAGUCCAACCUCACUGAACAUCAGAGAACUCACACAGGAGAG